rnacentral:rRNA from 1 species
GACGAACGCUGGCGGCGUGCCUAAUACAUGCAAGUAGAACGCUGAAGGAGGAGCUUGCUCUUCUGGAUGAGUUGCGAACGGGUGAGUAACGCGUAGGUAACCUGCCUGGUAGCGGGGGAUAACUAUUGGAAACGAUAGCUAAUACCGCAUAAGAGUAGAUGUUGCAUGACAUUUACUUAAAAGGUGCAAUUGCAUCACUACCAGAUGGACCUGCGUUGUAUUAGCUAGUUGGUGGGGUAACGGCUUACCAAGGCGACGAUACAUAGCCGACCUGAGAGGGUGAUCGGCCACACUGGGACUGAGACACGGCCCAGACUCCUACGGGAGGCAGCAGUAGGGAAUCUUCGGCAAUGGACGGAAGUCUGACCGAGCAACGCCGCGUGAGUGAAGAAGGGUGUCGGAUCGUAAAGCUCUGUUGUAAGAGAAGAACGAGUGUGAGAGUGGAAAGUUCACACUGUGACGGUAUCUUACCAGAAAGGGACGGCUAACUACGUG